rnacentral:misc_RNA from 1 species
ACACCUCAACUCCCAUGGUUCGCCAUGGUGAGCUUGGACUUUGGGGGUUUUGCUGGCCCACGGUCGGCUCCUCUCAAAUGAAUCAGCCUGCCAGUGUUUGGUGGCAUCACGGGUGUGAUAAAUAUCUACGCUUGCGAUUGCCUACCAGGUAACCUCCAGCGAUGGGGGUUUGCUGGGGCUCAUAGACGUCUCUCCGUCAGCGAGGACAGCUUUUUUAAC